rnacentral:rRNA from 1 species
UACGGAGGAUCCGAGCGUUAUCCGGAUUUAUUGGGUUUAAAGGGUGCGUAGGCGGUUUGAUAAGUUAGAGGUGAAAUGUCGGGGCUCAACCCCGAAACUGCCUCUAAUACUGUUGGACUAGAGAAUAGUUGCGGUAGGCGGAAUGUAUGGUGUAGCGGUGAAAUGCUUAGAGAUCAUACAGAACACCGAUUACGAAGGCAGCUUACCAAACUAUAUCUGACGUUGAGGCACGAAAGCGUGGGUAGCAAACAGG